CCAUUGUCCCCAGCCCCGGCCAGGCCCGGCCCCGCGCCCCGCACCGCGCCCCGCGCCCCGGGCCGCGCAGCCAGCCCUUACCUUGCAGCGACCGGCUCUCCCCCGCUCGCUAAAGCUACUUAUCCCGGGAAAGCUCGCGCGGGGCCCGGGAGCGAACCCACAGACAAAAAGUGAAACUUCGGCAAGGCUGGAGCGGCUGCUGGUUGGUGCCUUUCCCCCUCCUUCCUCCCACCGUCCCCACCCCCUCCCCUCGGUCUCCCGUGCGGUGCCCUGAGAGCUGGAGGCUGACGUCAGGGGCCUGAAUUCCUGACUUUGCCUGCACGCAUUUGUCCAUGGCGCCAGACUAGGGAGUUGAGUCUGGGUAGACGAGCUCUGCGGCGGAAUCCCCCUGCGAGAUCUCGCUCGUGAGCCCCGCCCCGGAUUCCCAGCAAGGUUCAAACGUACUGGAUGUCGGAACUGGCCCCGACCAACUUCCAGCCCGUCCACUUCACACGGGAAAUCUGAAGCUCUCGGAAGAGAAACGACUCGUGCAAGGUCAUGCCCGCCACAGAUCCCGGUGCGGGAGCCGGAUGCUCAGUCUCCCAGCUAUGUUCCUGUCUGCAGGCAGGGGCCCGACUCCCUCCUUCCCGCGGACCAGUCAGCGGGCUGGAUGUCAGAGGGCAACGCGGACCACCCUGGGAAGAGAUUCGGAGCUUCCCCGGGCCCCGUACGCGGUCAGUUCCUGGAAGGUUCUGAUUGCCAGUGAGCCCUGCAUAGCCAUGCUGAUUAGUUGCUUCAAGGCAACUCCCUCCAUCCAGUGCUCAAAUAAACGAACCCCUGGAAUUUACUUCACAGCCCUAUCCAGAAACCCAAACUUUGUGCUUAUAACUUCAAAAAAAAUUACGAACUGGGUGAAUUAGUUUGAAUAAAGGCAAGACCGUUCUUGGAA